GUCAGGACUCUCUUCAGGUUUUCCUUCUGCAAAUUGUUGAGUACGAAAACCUUAUUUGCGGAUAUGGAGAAACUGCACGGAGAACCCUAUGAUUCUAAUCAUCUCCAGCAAGAAGAAAUGCUUUUGAAGAGACUUCCUGAAGAACCAUGAUCCUGGCAGUUGAGUCCUCAUAUGGGGAGGAAAAUCAAUAUAACAUAUAACCAGAAAUACAGUGAUGAACAGAUACAGCAACUCAUAAGUCUUAGGUUUUAUGCAAUUCAAGUACUGAAGGUAAUUUUUAAACAUCUCAGAUACCACCCAAGUGUUCUGCUUAAAGGAUAUCUUUUCUUAUUACAUUUUGCAGAAAGCAAAAUGAGACUACUGGGAAUAGUGUACAAGAAAAGAAUCCUGCCUGAUACAGACUGUCAGAAUGUCUUUACUAACCUUAUACAAGGACAUUGCUUUUUUUAGCAAGAAUAUAUUGCUCCAGAAAUUUCAUAGCUGGAGAAUGUUUGAGGGCAGAUUAUACUAAGUAUAGAAUAAUACUGUCAACAUUAACCUAAAUAGCUCAUUUUAGAACUUGUAAAAUAGUACAGCAUAUGGUGGUGACAUCACAAGACUUCGUCUGUGACAAUACUAUUUGCAGUAAUUAAGGUCACCCUAUUUUUUUCUGUAGUCUUAUAAAUUACCAUAUUAAUCGCUAUGGAGGAAAAAUGCUUUACAUUUGGGGGUAAUGAUGAGUGACAAAUGUGAAAAUGAUUUGACAAAAAGAACUCUCAGGGAUAAAACAAACAAAUGCUGUUACAGUACUGGAAAAUGUUGAUAUUUGAGAAGUAAGCUCUUGCUCAGUGAAAUUUUUUUAUUCUAGAUACUACAUAACUAAUAUCCUGUACCAUGUAGCAUGCUUACCUAUCACUUUAAAAAUAGCACACUCUGAGACCAUUGACCUUAAACUAAUUUUGUAUUGCUUAUUUAAUGAAGUCUCACUAACAUAUAGGAGUACCUUAAAUUUUUAGGCAAAAGUAACCUUUAGAAAGCAAAACAGUUUCUAACUGGCUAGAUGUAAAAAGGAAUUCAAGAGAUUUAUAGGAAAAUGGCUGGACAGAAAGUAGUCAUCUUAUAUCAGUAGUGGUAUAACGUAGUUAUUCAUUCAUUCAUUAAUUUAUUCAAUAAAUAUUUGUUAAACUCUUUACA
rnacentral:lncRNA from 1 species